UACAGAGGUCUCGAGCGUUAGGCGGAAUCACUGGGCUUAAAGCGUGUGUAGGUGGAUCGUUAAGUACCUUGUGAAAUCCCACGGCUUAACCGUGGAACUGCUUGGUAUACUGGCGGUCUUGAGCCAGCUAGGGGCUACCGGAACAAAUGGUGGAGCGGUGAAAUGCGCAGAUAUCGGGAGGAACACCGGUGGCGAAGGCGGUUCUCUGGGCCUGUACUGACGCUGAGGAGCGAAAGCGUGGGGAGCGAACAGG
rnacentral:rRNA from 1 species